GAAAAAUUUGGAUUUUUCAUGCCCAGCC
rnacentral:piRNA from 1 species